GACGAACGCUGGCGGCGUGCUUAACACAUGCAAGUCGAACGGAAAGGCCCUGCUUGCAGGGUACUCGAGUGGCGAACGGGUGAGUAACACGUGGGUGAUCUGCCCUGCACUUCGGGAUAAGCCUGGGAAACUGGGUCUAAUACCGGAUAGGAGCCAUUUUUAGUGGGAUGGUUGGAAAGUUUUUUCGGUGUAGGAUGAGCUGGCGGGCUAUCGGCUUGUUGGGGGGGUAAUGGCCUACCAAGGCGGCGGCGGGUAGCCGGCCUGAGGGGGUGGACUGCCACCUUGGGUCUGAGGUGCGGCACAGACUCCGACGGGAGGCAGAAGUGGGGAAUCUUGCACGAUGGGCGCAAGCCUGGUGCAGCGAGGCCGCGUGGGGGAUGACGGCCUUCGGGUUGUAAACUCCUUUCGCUAGGGACGAAGCUUUUUGUGACGGUACCUAGAUAAGAAGCACCGGCUAACUACGUG
rnacentral:rRNA from 1 species